rnacentral:rRNA from 1 species
UACGGGGGGAGCAAGCGUUGUUCGGAUUUACUGGGCGUAAAGCGUGCGCAGGCGGUUGUGCAAGACAGAUGUGAAAUCCCCGGGCUUAACCUGGGAAUUGCAUUUGUGACUGCACGGCUAGAGUGUGUCAGAGGGGGGUAGAAUUCCACGUGUAGCAGUGAAAUGCGUAGAUAUGUGGAGGAAUACCGAUGGCGAAGGCAGCCCCCUGGGAUAACACUGACGCUCAUGCACGAAAGCGUGGGGAGCAAACAGG